rnacentral:antisense_RNA from 1 species
CUGAUCUCAUCAAUCUAGCGGGAGAGACAGGAUAACCUGUCCGAGAGUAUAGCGCCACUAUGACUCCGCCGGAAAAAUUACUUUAAAAAUCGCCAAAAAUUACUUGGAGCAAAGGGCAGUCGGCGGAGCUUCGCCAAGGCUGGCGCAGUCGGUUUAAUAAUGAUAGAAUGAAGACCGCAAUAAAAGAGACCUCUACUUAGCUCAGCAAUUCUUACCUUUCUUACCUAUUUGAUGAAGAUGUCUUUUGAAAGGUGUACUGCAAGGAACAAAAUGUUUGUAAAUUCUGCUUUUACCAAGGUAAAGAUCAAAUUUUAUAAAUUUACUUGUUUGUUUAUACAAGGAAAAAUAACUUCAUAUAUUGAAUAUAUUCAAAAGUUUAAGCAUUUAGUUGUAUUGCCCUGUUAAGUUGGCAUAGCAAAUAAAUGCUUUUCUUUUCCUCAUUUUAUUCUUUGUGUUUCCUAACCUAUAGCACUGUGCUGGGCACAGAAUGGACUUCAGUUAAGUUUUUGAUGUAGAAAUGUUUUAUUAUUCUACUUAAAAUCUCCUUAAAAAUAAUUAUGCAUAUUACAUCAAUGUUAUAAUGUUUAAACAUAGAUUUUUUUACAUGCAUUCUUUUUUUCCUGAAAGAAAAUAUUUUUUAUAUUCUUUAGGCACGAAUGUGUGUUUAAAAAAAAUAAAACCUUGGAGUAAAG